CGACUUCUGAAACUCCGAUGUGCUCUUUCCAACCACACAGAUGCCUGUGGCUGCUGCUGCAUGGCCUACACUGCUUCGGUGAGACCCCUGACCUGCUGAACCAGCAGGUCGAACUACUCCAUGCCGACUGCCAUUGCCGAAGGAGGAGGAGUCUGGAAAACUGGAGAUGAGGCUGGAGCCGAUGGAUCUUCCUGAGAUUUGACCAUGGAGGCCGUA
rnacentral:lncRNA from 1 species